UUCGUUGUCAUGUGGACCAUCUACUACUUUCUGGUAGUGAAAUCUAUAGUUUGCAAUGACUGCAGCAAUUAUCUACAUGGAAAAGUUCUGAUAGGAAAAGAAUGUUAUUUUAAACUUCUUUAUUAUGAUUUAGCAGCUGGAAACAAGGAAAAUAUCCAAGGCGGCUGUGCUACUCAUCUCUCUGCAGCCUAUCAGCAACAACUCCGUGGACAAAGCUGGGAACCAACAGUGAUAUGUAAUAAGUAAUUGGAUGCAUUUGCAAGUAAGGCUUUUUGUAGCAUCCUAAACAGAAGGAUAUUGAAGGGAGCUGAUUCUGCUUUGAUCCUUAUGCUUGUUGUCAAAGCGCUUGGGAUUGAAGAGACUGUUGGCUACAAUUGACUGUGACAAUUAGGAGAUGAUCAGAGCCCUAGAGUGGAGCACUUAAAGGAGAUGGCAUUGGCUCCUGUUUUAUGAUCAUCUCCCAGAAAAGAAGAAAUGGUCAUGUACAGGAUACCAGUUUGUGUACUGGAAUUAAAGGCUUUGCUUUGUCAUGAUUUGACCAAGCAGUCCUUGCUGUGCAGAACUGGAAAGCAUUGCCACCAAAACCCAGAGGCUACGUUUGUGAGGCAGUUUUGUGGCUUUCCGUCAAUGCCAAGCGUGUACGCAAUAGGUCUGAUUCUGCCCUCGGUGGCAGAUGCUGGUGAAAUAACAUGGACUGGAGCAGAUUUCAGGUCUCUGCUGGUGCGAGCAGGAUGAGGAUCAGCCCCUGCCUGGCUAUAGGGUCACCAGGAUGCCCUUUCGUUAGCUAUACGCCGUACAUCCUUCGG